UACGUAGGGGGCAAGCGUUGUCCGGAUUUAUUGGGCGUAAAGAGCGUGUAGGCGGCUUUACAGGUCCGUUGUGAAAACUCGAGGCUCAACCUCGAGACGCCGGUGGAAACCGUAAAGCUAGAGUCCGGAAGAGGAGAGUGGAAUUCCUGGUGUAGCGGUGAAAUGCGCAGAUAUCAGGAAGAACACCCUGGCGAAGGCGGCUCUCUGGGACGGUAC
rnacentral:rRNA from 1 species